rnacentral:rRNA from 1 species
UACAGAGGUCUCAAGCGUUGUUCGGAUUCAUUGGGCGUAAAGGGUGCGUAGGCGGCGCGGUAAGUCGGGUGUGAAAUCUCGGAGCUUAACUCCGAAACUGCAUUUGAUACUGGCGUGCUUGAGGACUGGAGAGGAGACUGGAAUUCACGGUGUAGCAGUGAAAUGCGUAGAUAUCGUGAGGAAGACCAGUGGCGAAGGCGGGUCUCUGGACAGUUCCUGACACUGAGGCACGAAGGCCAGGGGAGCAAACGGG